UUGUGGAAGUAAACUAUCCAACUCUUUGGUUUGCUUAAGAGGUAGUUUGUGGUUGGGUAUCAAACAGACGUGUCGAAUUACCUAACUUUAAUUUCAAGUAAUUGGUGAACAGAAUUACCCUCAGGGUUGAGGGAAUUAUAAACAACGCAGCUCCUGGUAAUUUUCUCCCCUCUGGAUAGAGCCAAGUGGAAAUUGCUGCUAGUGGGUAUGUUACAGCUGCUUGUGACAUUCUGAGAAGGUGGAUAUUUGCAAAUAAUACAGUUCAUUUGACCCUCGCUGCUUGGCAAUGAAAGAAAAACUAUCUGAAGUACUUUCUUGGGGUUUUGGUGAAUCCACUGCUCAGAUUAUGGCAAUAGUUUCUCCUCCUGCAAAGAAGCUGGAAACAUCUCAAAAAUUGCUCAUGUUUAAGGAGACCCUACAAAUAAGGUAGGGUCAUUUCAGGUGCAAAAUUUAACCAAAUGCAUUUUGUUUUCCUGCCUAUUAAGAUCUUAAAGUGUGUUUUUUACUGCCCCAUCUUUCUCAUGUCCCUGUUUCACAGUUUGGGUUUUUUCCUUCUCUCUUUUCCCCACUCACUUCUUCCAUUCACAUAUCUCCUUCUGUUUCACCAUACACCAGUCCCUAGCUCUCCUUGCAGUGGGGGUAGGUUUUUUUGCUGCUGGGAUAAGUCUAUGGAAGGAAAUUUUCUAUACAGUUCUGAGUUAGCCCCUCUUUGGAGCUCAAUCAUCAUGUCAGGCACAAUUUCACCAUCUUCUUCAUCUCCUAUGUUGCUGAAUUUAUUCUUCCUGUCUCCUUCAGCAGCAUAUUCCUGUGUAGUCAGAAAAUUAUCAAUGAUACAUAUAUUUCACAUUUGCCUUCAUUCCUUUCCCAUCUCUCUUCUACUGGACAGAGGCACCUCAGACACUCCCCUGAGCCCCAUGCCCCCAGUAUGUUUCUUUUCCACUUUCCUCUUCCACCUUCAAUGCCUCUUUCCUACUCAUCACAUAAAUAUAUGUUCUGGGGUAUUUCAAAACCCAGCAUUAUGUACUUGGAAAACUAGUGAUUUGAGGUGGAAUGGAGAAUAAAUAUAGCCAUAAUAUGCUUUAAAAUAGGUGAAUUAGUUGAGCAGGAGACUUUUAAUGCCACAUGGGUGGUCAGUAAAAAAGUAACAAUUACCAUGAGAUGGAAUUUGAUAUACCACAGUUAUUUCCUACUCUCGAGAUAGGGCAGUACCAUGGUAACCUAGACUCCACUGUGUGGCAAGUAUUGUUAAUUGUAUAGAUUUUAAUGGGGAUAAUUAUGCUUCUCCUGUCUGAAAUCAACCUUUACUGGCAGUGACCAAUACCCAGAAGGAUAUUCUCAAAGGGAUGUUGCACGACCUACAGUUUGUACACUUCAUAUUUCUUCCUUAUAGUCAGAAAAUUUCACUCCAUCAGCAGAAGAGGUGUGAAGUGCUUACCUUCUGAUAAAUCCUGUUAAGAAAUUAACAUAUUAAAAGUUCAGGUGGAUAGCUAUUCAUUCUCACCGUAGGUUAGGAAUGCUACAUAUUGAUGGGCCAAGCCCAGAAAAAGGAAAGCAUCUUGUUUGUAUUUGAUGUUUAAUUAGAUAACUUAAUUUUCCAGUAUUGCUAUUACAGUUUCUUUCUUUAAUGUGGAAUUUAGGUUUUUUUCUGAAAUAUCCACAUCUAUAAUGAGGGUGGAUGGAAAUUUUCUUUGGCAAAAUCUGCUUGAAGCAGAUAUUGCUUUGCCAGAAUUUAACAUUCAGGUCAGAGCUUUUCUGCUGUAUGGCUCUGUUUCAGGUGAAUAUUCACUUCUGAGAACAAGAUUAGGGAAAAUAUGUGCCAGUGUUUAAAAAUAAAUAUACCUCUCAGUUGUUUCCUCAACAGCUCUGCAAUUUAAAACUGUGCCUUGAAAACUGGUCAAACCUUAAGCUUCUGGAAAAAAACCCAACAAUAUUUAUUUAUGCUUAUUAGAGGCUUGUUAUAUUUGUCAGAGUGUCUGUGGUCGAUCAGGUUGUACAGUUACAUCACAUUUCCUAAGAUAUGUAGCCCUGUCACUUGAGCAGGUCUUUGGUCCUGCUUGCUGGAGUUGGUUGGAUCUCUGGAUCCACAACUAAUGGCAGAGACCAUCUCUCUCCUCUGGUUCUGAUUGAGCCCAAAGGAUAUGCAGCAGGAGGAAAAAGCUUCACGUGGAAAGUCACUAAAAAAUGAGAAAGAAAGGGUGUAGGGAACCUGGGAAUGGAGAGCUCUGAGUGAGGGGGGUUGGAAGAGCUUGUGUUUAACAAGAAAAAAAGACCAGCCACUUUGGACAUGGAGCAAAUGAGCACACACUUAUUGGUAGGUGUACGCGCUCCAUCUCUGACAAUUAUGGAAAAAAAUUGAAAAAAAUUAUGUUGGUCCAGAACACGACAUAUGAAAUUGGCCAGAACAUUGAGAAACAUGGCAACCUUGAGACGUAGCUAAGGAGGAACACGUGGGUAUGGACACUAGCCCCAGCUUUGAGAAGAAUGACUAAAUGAGCAGGAGUUGGAUAUGAGACUAUGCAGGAAUAAGAAAUGUGAAGAAAGGUGUGCAUGAGUGCUACCAGAAGAGAGGUAAGAAAAGGAGCAAAAUGUUAAAUGUUGGAAGGAAGAAGAGGAAAUCUAUUCCAUCCACCUCUAUGGAGCCUUAACAUAAAAUUUAUAGGCCUGAAUUCUGAUUUCACUACGCUGUUAAACAAAGUAACUGUAACUUCCAUUCAAAUUGUUUUCCAUCUCAUGCUUAAUAACAGGUUAUGUAGAGGGUAACUGUCUUCUACCACUUCUGUGUGAAGGCCAGAACAAACAAUUAUAUUUUUGCUUGUUCAAUUCCUAUACUUCCAAAACACAAUGGAAAUGCACCUAUGAAAUUUAAAGUAAGCAAUGACAUUGUGAGUUUUAGCACUCAAAAACUGGAAAAUAUCUGGAUUAAACCUGCUCUGGUUGUGCCAGUUUGGCCCUUUUAAGGUUAUACAUGAUGACUGCUGAUAAGGACUGGAUCCCAUACUGUCUCCAUGUCCCUGAGGUAUGCAUUGGUCACACUGAGGGGGAAUCGCAAAGUCUCUGCUGGCUGCGACAGAGGGCAAGGCAGGGUCUCCUGGUUCAGGCACCUGAGGGUGUAGAACAUGCUGUCUCACCCUAUUGCUUACAACCCAGCCCUGUUCCUGAGAGUGGAGUUCCAGUUUGCCUAACAAGUGUAAAUGAAACAUAAAUUUUAUGGAUAAAAUCCCAAACAGGCAGAAUUAAUGGGGAGGUUUUCAGGUUUUCUGUUGAUUAUAUAGUGAAUUUAUUCACUAGUUUUAACAGCCUUGUUUCAAUAGCUACAAAAAAUUUAGGUGCAAAGCAAGUACUACGACGAUGUCCAAAGGACUGGACUUCACUUCUUAUCCCUUUGCAAUGAAGAAGCAAUAAUGCAUCCUGAAGUGUUCACAGUUGUACACUUCUGAUCCCUCAUAUCGUUCAUCUCCCAAUCCAAAACAAACCUUGCUGAAGGACCUAGAUCUCUCAGCAAGUAAGCAAAGUCACCCAUCCAGUGCCCUGUGCACAAGAAAUAUUGCACAGUAUAAAUGCUUUGGAAAAUCUUUUAUUUUGUCUCACAAAGUGAGUAGGCAAAAUCUGAUGAUUUUUCACAUCUUUGUUCUAGUUGCCCAGAUGAAGAAAGGAUACUACAUCACUUUUCCUAGAAAAUCAUAAGGAAUUUUGGUGAGGAUUAGUUAAUUUAUGCCGUAGUAACAGUCUGCAGCUACAGUGAGGUUCUUGAGGAUAGCCUUGCAGCUAGGAGGUAAAAUUCACAUUGAAGGUGCAUUUUUCUCAUCUGUUAGUUUUUAUGCUCCAUUAUAUAUUUUCUAUUAUAAUUUGGAGUGGAGGAUCACAGAAUAGAAAGCUGAUGCAUUUUAACAGGAAAUGUUUGCUUUCAAAGAAGUGUACCUCUAUUUACAGAA